CGCACUUCGCAUAACAUGAAUCCAGUAAACCCUAAUCUUAUUCUCUCAAUAGAGCAGCUGCCUGAUUUUUUUCUUCUCGUUUAUGUUUAUAAGAUUUAAUGGAGCUUAGAGAGGGGGCAGUGAUGAUCAACGCUAUAUUUCUGACACCUCUUGUAUGAGAAGAACCCUGAAAAAGUUCUUCCUUGAGCACAGUUAGCAACUCUCUGAGCCCAUCUCCUCCUCCUCAUCUUUUUUCUCUGAAAAAAUCUAUGUUGGCCAGAGCAAAGUCGUCUAGUUUUAAUGACGUAACAUUUGCAUUGAAGGUUGGCUAUAUCAAUAAGCGAUUCUCCGUGCCUAUCAAAAUCUCAAUUUUGAAUACGGCCUCGAACAAGUCGACACAUUUCUUUCUUAUACUCAUUUUUUUUUGUUAGGCAUCUGAUUGUAGUUAGAUUUGUUGUGAUUGGUACUGUUAUUAACUGUAUAAGGUCAAAAAUGAGUUAAUCCAUCUGCUUGCUAUGAUCAAGUAUCCAACACUAGCUGAGACAUUUUAUUAUUUUGUCUGUUCCUUGUUUCUCUUCAGUCAAUACUGUGCUAUUUUCUAUUGACUUAAAAGUACAGUGAUGACACUACUGUGGACUAGAGCUUCUGAUUGGGGCACUUCACCCUAAUAUUUGAUUACAAACCCUUGGCUGUCUGAGCACUGCUAUACAUUAUAUAAUAAUUGCCAAAUGCUGAUGAUGAUUUUGUCCAAUCACCUGAGAUGUAGUGGAACUGAGACCCUGUUUACAGGGAGAACCCCUUGGGGAAAUUACAUUCCACAUGAAAUUAAUGGAUAUUACUGAGGCGUUUUGCUAAUGUAGUUAGUAUGUGUUUUGAGUUUUAACUAUUCCACAUUUUGCGAUAAUUGGUCGACGUGUAGACUGAAAAAACUCAUAAAGUAUGCUGAUGAUAAUUGGUCUACAACACUAUAUGUUGCUUGCAUGUAACCGUAGAAUGAUAUAUGUUUCAUGUAAGGCUAAUUAAAUCCUAUUUAGAUUUGAUUAACAUGUACUCUUAAUAUGAUGCAUUACAGCCAUGUUUUUCAAGUCCAGUAAUUUACUCCUAAAUUAAGCAUAUAUGGAAUUGGUGUUAGGUGCAGUAAGACAAUGUUGUUUUUCAAGUUAAUUAAUUUACUCCUAAAGCAACGGUUUUCCCUUGUGAUUUACUGGAAAGAUUUUAUGUGGCAGUGAUGAUCAAUGCUAUAUUUCUGACACCUCUUGUAUGAGAAGAACCUUAAAACAGUUCUUCCUUGAGCACAGUUAGCAACUCUCUGAGCCCUUCUACUCCUUAUUUUCCUUUUGUUUUAUUUUUGUGGACUAUAGUCUCGUGUUUCUAAGAAAUGUCUGCCAUCAGUCAGGUACUUUUUGAAUUGGGCUAUACCUUGUCACUUAAACCAAGCUUUAGGGCUUAUGUUUUGCAGAGCAAAGUCGUCUAAUUCUAAUGGCAAUAGCAAUAAGCAAUUCUCCGUGUGCCUAUCAGAUCCGAUGCCAUGAUCAACAUUAUUUUAUUGGAUGUGUUGGUUAAUAGUUUUUAUUGGAUGUGUUGGUUAAUGUUUCUUUUGUGUAUUUUGUUGCAUUUUGUAGUUAUUUUCUUUAAAGCAGAAUCUAUCUGGUGUAAGAACUUUUGUGGCUUGUGUCGCGCUAUGUUGAUCAUAUAAAUUGUUCGUUGUUCAUUUUUAGUUGGUUAAUAUUGUCCAUAAACAGGCAUAUAUCCUGUCAUUGAAGGUGAAUUCAUGUUCGAUCU